AAUAGCUCAGCGGUAGAGCGAAUGGCUGUUAACCAUUCGGACGUUGGUUCAAAUCCAACUU
rnacentral:tRNA from 1 species